GUAAAAAUGAAUCGUGUUAAUCUCUGGCAGUAAAAUAUUUAUCCCAUGAUGCAACACACACGAGUUUAGCGGGAAGUCUGAUAGCCAUGUUUGAAUUCACCGGAUGUUUAUUUCCAGAAGAAAAGUAUAAACAAACACGACGAUAGCCUAAAAACGAAGUUUGUUUCCCGUCUUACUGAAGAAGAUCGACUUACUUCAAGUUACCGACGAAUGAAUAUCAGCUUUCUCGUUGUUUUUGACGACCGAUGUAUAUUUUUACCGACAAACAUCGUUACGAGACAGGGGUUUUGAUGAUUAAUUAAUCACAGAUUACACGGCCGAAGGAAACGAAGUACCGAUUCAUGUGUUACAAUCAGACUGAGUCUUCAUGCAGUACAUUCUGGAAUGAGGAACACCGCAUGCAUUGUGGUCCAAAUUGAUGGCAUUGACUUAACACAAAGCAGAAAGGAAUGAAGAGAAAUUAAGAAGUUUAUGUUUCACAUUAAUUAAGAUUAUUCGAGAUAUGUUCUCUGUCGAGGUAUACAACAUUUCCUUUCAUAAUAAAAGUGUAAACAUUAAUAUAUAUACAAAAAAAAAUCAUGUAUAUAAUCUAAAAAUCCUUGUUAGUUAUUUGUUGUACUAGCAAAAAAUAUAAUAUAGUCGUCUCAAGCUUGGUUGUAUUGAAAUCCCCGGGGACAGUGACAGAGUUUAUCACUACAGUACGUGCUACAUCAAACAACACACCAUUGUUCAAAUUGUCAAUCAACAUUUCAUUUAGUCAGUAUACGUAUUUAGAAUUGAUUCCAAAAUUAUGAUAAUCUUUUCACAGUUUAUUAGAAAUAAUGUUAAAUUCGAUAGAAGAAGUCUUCGACUGUUGCUUGUUUUUGUUUAUUUUAAGUUCACGGACACACAUGAAAACAGUUUCCAGUACAUCUGGGCUACUUCCAGGAAACUACGUAUACUGUCUGAAAUCAGUCUUGUGCGUCGGUGACAAAAUGUAUACAUAUCCUACUAUAACUCUGCUGGAAAAUAUUAUUUUGUACUAUUUUCCUACUAUUUUAGAAAAAAAAAAAA